GGGAAUGUGGCUUAGUGGUAGAGUGCUUGCCUAGCAUGCGUGAACCCCUAGGUUCGAUUCCUCAGUACCA
rnacentral:tRNA from 1 species